rnacentral:rRNA from 1 species
UACAGAGGUCUCAAGCGUUGUUCGGAAUCACUGGGCGUAAAGGGUGCGUAGGCCGCACGGUAAGUCAGAGGUGAAAUCCCGGAGCUCAACUCCGGAAUGGCCUCCGAUACUGCCGUGCUCGAGGACUGGAGAGGAGUCUGGAAUUCACAGUGGAGCAGUGAAAUGCGUAGAUAUCGUAAGGAAGACCAGUGGACGAAGGCGAGUCUCUGGACAGUUACUGACACUGAGGCACGAAGGCCAGGGGAGCAAACGG